AACGAACGCUGGCGGCAGGCUUAACACAUGCAAGUCGAGCGCCCCGCAAGGGGAGCGGCAGACGGGUGAGUAACGCGUGGGAACGUACCCUUUGCUACGGAAUAGCUCCGGGAAACUGGAAUUAAUACCGUAUGUGCCCUACGGGGGAAAGAUUUAUCGGAGAUGGAUGAGCCCGCGUUGGAUUAGCUAGUUGGUGGGGUAAAGGCCUACCAAGGCGACGAUCCAUAGCUGGUCUGAGAGGAUGAUCAGCCACAUUGGGACUGAGACACGGCCCAAACUCCUACGGGAGGCAGCAGUGGGGAAUAUUGGACAAUGGGCGCAAGCCUGAUCCAGCCAUGCCGCGUGAGUGAUGAAGGCCCUAGGGUUGUAAAGCUCUUUCACCGAUGAAGAUAAUGACUGUAGUCGGAGAAGAAGCCCCGGCUAACUUCGUGCCAGCAGCCGCGGUAACAC
rnacentral:rRNA from 1 species